rnacentral:tRNA from 1 species
UCGCGAGUAGGGGAAUUGGCAGACCCGGCGGGCUUUUGACCCCGCGUCGUUCCUGGUUCGAGCCCAGGCUCGCGAACCC